GGCCGUUAAUUUUUUUUUAGGAACGGAGCCUAACAUGCAGCCGAGCGGUAGAGAAUCUUUCGGGAUCUUGAGAGCGGCGUACGGGUGCGGAACACGUGUGCAACCUGCCUUUAUCAGGGGGAUAGCCUUUCGAAAGGAAGAUUAAUACCCCAUAAUAUAUUGAGUGGCAUCACUUGAUAUUGAAAACUCCGGUGGAUAGAGAUGGGCACGCGCAAGAUUAGAUAGUUGGUGAGGUAACGGCUCACCAAGUCUGCGAUCUUUAGGGGGCCUGAGAGGGUGAUCCCCCACACUGGUACUGAGACACGGACCAGACUCCUACGGGAGGCAGCAGUGAGGAAUAUUGGACAAUGGGUGCGAGCCUGAUCCAGCCAUCCCGCGUGAAGGACGACGGCCCUAUGGGUUGUAAACUUCUUUUGUAUAGGGAUAAACCUACUCUCGUGAGAGUAGCUGAAGGUACUAUACGAAUAAGCACCGGCUAACUCCGUGCCAGCAGCCGCGGUAAUACGGAGGGUGCAAGCGUUAUCCCGAUUUAUUGGGUUUAAAGGGUCCGUAGGCGGAUCUGUAAGUCAGUGGUGAAAUCUCACAGCUUAACUGUGAAACUGCCAUUGAUACUGCAGGUCUUGAGUGUUGUUGAAGUACCUGGAAUAAGUAUUGUAGCGGUGAAAUGCAUACAUAUUACUUAGAACACCAAUUGGGAAUGCAAGUUAGUAUCCACCACCUGACUCUGAUCAACAAAAACAUGUGGAGCGAACAAAAUGGGAUACCUAGUGGUCG
rnacentral:rRNA from 1 species